rnacentral:tRNA from 1 species
UCUAUUAUGGCAGACUAAUGCAAUGGGCUUAAAAUCCAUUUAUAAAAAUUUUAUUUUUUAAUAGAA